UGAACCUUUUAUAUUUCAUAUAUGAAAACUGAGGUCCAUAUUGCAUAUAUUAAAGUGGUAGAAUUUUCUAUAUUUAAUAUAUGAAAGAGUAGCACAUUUCAUAUAUGGAAAUGGGAGAAUUUUCUAUGUUUCAUGUAUGAAAAUAGUGGUGCAUAUUUCAUAUAUGAAAAUGAUAGCAUUUCCUUUACUUCAUAUAUGAAAAUAGAGUGACUGGACAAAAAAAGUCCUGUCUACUGCUGAUUAUGUUUAGAUGUGACCAUGUGCUUUCUACAAUGAGAACAUUUAGACCUGACCCUGUUCUGUGCGCUAGUACUGGAGACAUGGGUAGGACCUGGCCUGCCUCUGUCCUGGAAAACUCUGCGCCUGCGUCUGAAUGUCAGCGCUCAGAUGUCUGGGGUCUGGAGCUGAGGUGGCUUCUCUGGGUAGCGUGCUCUUCUCUGGGGGGCUCCAUGGCCCUCCUGGGGUUGGGGCUGCGGUGGGCUUUGAGUCUCUCCCCCUGCUUGCUUCCCCCUCCCUGGGGCAUGGAGGCGCCUCAGGUGGGCUACCUGGUAAUCAUUCCAAUUUUCCAGUACAUUCAGGUUGAGUAGGGAGGCAGGUUCACCUGCUGAACUGAUUCCAGGAUCGGGCAAGAAGUCAACGGGCGGCAGGUGAGGUUGCCUCUGUGAUCUCCUUCUGGUCGAUUCUCCUCAGAAGAGAACAGGGCUGCUCCCCGUCCUUCAGCCCAGCUCUCCUGUUUCCUCAUUAUCUCAGCAGGACAGGAAAGACAGAGCCUGCCAGAACCAAGGGCACAUGGAUCAGGAAAAAGCCAAUGGGAUCAGGUGAGGUUGCUGCUGCUAUCUCCUUCCGGCUGACCAGCCCUGCUCAGAAGACGCCAGACCUGCCUCUCGUCUUCCUGCCCUGCAUCUGGUGUGUUUUCUCAGCAUUUAGGUGGCACGAGAAAGGACCGAGCCUUCCAAAACCAAGCUUCUCCCCUUCCAGCCUGGGCCGUAACCCCAAUGAGGGACCUAGGAGGCUGCACUCUCAGGAAGGAGGAUUGAAUUGGGGACCCCAGCACCAGGACCCCUGGCGAUUGGCAAGAAUACUGAAGAGGUUUGCCAUUCCCUUCUCCAGUGAAGCAUGUU